UUUAUGUUAACAAAACAAUAACCUUAUAACCUGGUCAGGUCAGAGAUGAAGCAGCCACAUUAAGAAGUGUUGUGUUUGUUAACUUUUUUAU
rnacentral:SRP_RNA from 1 species